UACGUAGGGCGCAAGCGUUGUCCGGAAUUAUUGGGCGUAAAGAGCUCGUAGGCGGCUUGUCACGUCGGGUGUGAAAGCCCGGGGCUUAACCCCGGGUCUGCAUUCGAUACGGGCUAGCUAGAGUGUGGUAGGGGAGAUCGGAAUUCCUGGUGUAGCGGUGAAAUGCGCAGAUAUCAGGAGGAACACCGGUGGCGAAGGCGGAUCUCUGGGCCAUUACUGACGCUGAGGAGCGAAAGCGUGGGGAGUGAACAGG
rnacentral:rRNA from 1 species